UCGGGAAUUUUGCACAAUGGCCGAAAGGCUGAUGCAGCAACGCCGCGUGAGCGAAGAAGGCCUUCGGGUUGUAAAGCUCUGUUGCCUGCGAAGAAGGGCCCUGUCAGGAAAUGGGCGGGGUUUGACGGUAGCAGGCGAGGAAGCCCCGGCAAACUACGUGCCAGCAGCCGCGGUAAUACGUAGGGGGCGAGCGUUGUCCGGAAUUACUGGGCGUAAAGGGCGUGUAGGCGGGGGGACAAGUCAGAUGUGAAAUACUGCAGCUUAACUGCGGGGCUGCAUCUGAAACUGUUCUUCUUGAGUGUCGGAGAGGAAAGUGGAAUUCCCAGUGUAGCGGUGAAAUGCGUAGAGAUUGGGAGGAACACCAGUGGCGAAGGCGGCUUUCUGGACGACAACUGACGCUGAGGCGCGAAAGCGUGGGGAGCAAACAGG
rnacentral:rRNA from 1 species